rnacentral:rRNA from 1 species
GAUGAACGCUGGCGGCGUGCCUAAUACAUGCAAGUCGAGCGAACAGACGGGGAGCUUGCUCCUCUGACGUUAGCGGCGGACGGGUGAGUAACACGUGGAUAACCUACCUAUAAGACUGGGAUAACUUCGGGAAACCGGAGCUAAUACCGGAUAAUAUAUUGAACCGCAUGGUUCAAUAGUGAAAGACGGUUUUGCUGUCACUUAUAGAUGGAUCCGCGCCGCAUUAGCUAGUUGGUAAGGUAACGGCUUACCAAGGCAACGAUGCGUAGCCGACCUGAGAGGGUGAUCGGCCACACUGGAACUGAGACACGGUCCAGACUCCUACGGGAGGCAGCAGUAGGGAAUCUUCCGCAAUGGGCGAAAGCCUGACGGAGCAACGCCGCGUGAGUGAUGAAGGUCUUCGGAUCGUAAAACUCUGUUAUUAGGGAAGAACAAAUGUGUAGGUAACUAUGCACGUCUUGACGGUACCUAAUCAGAAAGCCACGGCUAACUACGUG